GACGAACGCUGGCGGCGUGCUUAACACAUGCAAGUCGAACGGAAAGGCCCUGCUUUUGUGGGGUGCUCGAGUGGCGAACGGGUGAGUAACACGUGAGUAACCUGCCCUUGACUUUGGGAUAACUUCAGGAAACUGGGGCUAAAACCCGAUAGGAGCUCCUGCUGCAUGGUGGGGGUUGGAAAAUUUCGGCGGUUGGGGAUGGACUCGCGGCUUAUCAGCUUGUUGGUGGGGUAGUGGCUUACCAAGGCUUUGACGGGUAGCCGGCCUGAGAGGGUGACCGGCCACAUUGGGACUGAGAUACGGCCCAGACUCCUACGGGAGGCAGCAGUGGGGAAUAUUGCACAAUGGGCGGAAGCCUGAUGCAGCAACGCCGCGUGCGGGAUGACGGCCUUCGGGUUGUAAACCGCUUUCGCCUGUGACGAAGCGUGAGUGACGGUAAUGGGUAAAGAAGCACCGGCUAACUACGUG
rnacentral:rRNA from 1 species